CGUACAAACCUUAUCGAUAAACAAUUGGAGGGCAAGUCUGCCUGCCAGCAGCCGCGGCAAUUCCAGCUCCAAUAGCGUAUAUCAACGUUGUUGCAGUUAAAAAGCUCGUAGUUGAAAUGAAGGGUAUUUGUGUAAUGAAUACAUUCGUGUAUUUUGUUAUUCUGCUACCCUCCUUCUAAAUUCGAUAUAUGAGUAUUAAUUUACUUGUAUAUGGUUUUAGACUUUUACUGUGACAAAAUUAUAGUGUUCCAAGCAUGCAUUUGCUUGAAUAUAUUAUCAUGGAAUAAUCAUGUAUGAUUUUCAUGAUGUAUUUGAUUGGUUUGGUUGAUGACAAUAAGAUUAAAAGGGACAGUUGGGGGUAUUCAUAUUCAAUAUUCAAAGGUGAAAUUCUCGGAUUUAUGGAAUAUGAACAAGUGCGAAAGCAUUUACCAAGGAUGUUUUCAUUAAUCCAGAACGAAAGUUAUGGGAUCGAAUAGGAUUAUAUACCCUCGCCUUCUUAA
rnacentral:rRNA from 1 species